rnacentral:pre_miRNA from 1 species
AACGUUUUGUAUCCAUGCUAAGAUUACGUUAGCGACUAGUCCAUUACAGCUAAUGUAACUUCCCAUAUAAGUGAAGCA